rnacentral:rRNA from 1 species
GAUGAACGCUGGCGGCGUGCCUAAUACAUGCAAGUCGAGCGAACGGACGAGAAGCUUGCUUCUCUGAUGUUAGCGGCGGACGGGUGAGUAACACGUGGAUAACCUACCUAUAAGACUGGGAUAACUUCGGGAAACCGUAGCUAAUACCGGAUCAUAUUUUGAACCGCAUGGUUCAAAAGUGAAAGACGGUCUUGCUGUCCCUUAUAGAUGGAUCCGCGCUGCAUUAGCUAGUUGGUAAGGUAACGGCUUACCAAGGCAACGAUGCAUAGCCGACCUGAGAGGGUGAUCGGCCACACUGGAACUGAGACACGGUCCAGACUCCUACGGGAGGCAGCAGUAGGGAAUCUUCCGCAAUGGGCGAAAGCCUGACGGAGCAACGCCGCGUGAGUGAUGAAGGUCUUCGGAUCGUAAAACUCUGUUAUUAGGGAAGAACAUAUGUGUAAGUAACUGUGCACAUCUUGACGGUACCUAAUCAGAAAGCCACGGCUAACUACGUG